rnacentral:lncRNA from 1 species
CAGGCAAGGAAAGCAAAGAGUAGUUGGUGAAGCAGGUGCUGUCUCUUUUAAGUUUCAGCUUGGGGAAUUGUCUUAGUCAGGGUUUCUUUACCCAGAAGCCCCGAGAGAUGGUGAUGUCUCCAUAAGAACUCAUGCAUUUCAUCUCAGGAACUUGCCUGCUGGAGGGGAACUCUCAGGCAGAGUCAUUCAACACAAAACAAGUAAUUGUUCGUUCUCUCUCUCUCUCUCUCUCUCUCUCUCUCUCUCUCAAAAUAUUUUGAUGCCAGUAUUACCGUAAGAAAAAAUUUGUUAUGGGAAGAGGGUUUGUAUAUAGCUGGUAACAGUACCGGUGUUAGUGAUCGUUAAUUUUGUC